UACGAAGGGGGCUAGCGUUGUUCGGAAUUACUGGGCGUAAAGCGUGCGUAGACGGUUAUGUAAGUCGGAUGUGAAAGCCCCGGGCUUAACCUGGGAAUGGCAUUCGAGACUGCAUAGCUAGGAUGCGGAAGAGGGAAGUGGAAUUUCCGGUGUAGCGGUGAAAUGCGUAGAUAUCGGAAGGAACACCAGUGGCGAAAGCGACUUCCUGGUCCAGCAUCGACGUUCAGGCACGAAAGCGUGGGGAGCAAACAGG
rnacentral:rRNA from 1 species